AUUGAACGCUGGCGGCAUGCCUUACACAUGCAAGUCGAACGGUAACAGGUUAAGCUGACGAGUGGCGAACGGGUGAGUAAUGUAUCGGAACGUGCCCAGUUGUGGGGGAUAACUGCUCGAAAGAGCAGCUAAUACCGCAUACGACCUGAGGGUGAAAGGGGGGGAUCGCCAGACCUCGCGCAAUUGGAGCGGCCGAUAUCAGAUUAGGUAGUUGGUGAGGUAAAGGCUCACCAAGCCGACGAUCUGUAGCUGGUCUGAGAGGACGACCAGCCACACUGGGACUGAGACACGGCCCAGACUCCUACGGGAGGCAGCAGUGGGGAAUUUUGGACGAUGGGCGCAAGCCUGAUCCAGCCACGCCGCGUGCGGGAAGAAGGCCUCCGGGUUGUAAAGCUCUUUUGUCAGGGAAGAAACGGUAGUAGCUAAUAUCUAUUACUAAUGACGGUACCUGAAGAAUAAGCACCGGCUAACUACGUGCCAGCCGCCGCUGUAAAAC
rnacentral:rRNA from 1 species